rnacentral:piRNA from 1 species
UGAGCCAAAUUGCUCGUGGGUCCAA